AAGACGAUAGCUGUGUGAUAGUCGUUGGAGCAAAGAACAUAACAUGGAUAAACAGAUGCACACAAAUUAUAAAAACAAUUAUUCUUAAACUUGUUAAACUUAUUUGACAUUUUAUAUUCGCAUUAUUGUGUAUAAAACAUGUGCAAACACUUCGGAUUUGAUUAAACAUUGAACUAAUCUUAAUGGAUGUUGGAUGUUUUUUUCGCAAUGGACAGAUGUUACACAAAGAGCUCCAAAGCGCAACAACGUAGAUAAAGAGGCAUUUCUUUAUAUGGGUUUUACCACCUUUAAUGGCGGAAAAGAUAUAUAUAAACGACCUUAACAAUGAAAACCAAGAUCGACCAGCAUCAGAAAAUGACUAUGAAGACCGACAAAAUUCCGAAAAUACCAGAAGAAAUGCGGUCCACAUAAUCAAGCCAGAUAAAACAAUAGACAUUUCUGACGUCCUCAAAGCAUCCAAGGAUGAGGAGGAUGAGAGAUAUGUAGGCAAUCCAAUAAAUAUCCGGUCAACCAGUGGGUCUGAACACGCUUUUACAGCUACCGAUGAUUUUUUGUUUGAUUACUUAAUGACCCUUAUUAAAGAAACGCUUAGUAAUCACGAUGAAAAGCAUAGGGAUGUUCACCAGCUUGAAGAUCGAAAACGAGAAUUCGUAAACGUUUUACCAUUCAUGCCAAGUAUUGAAGAAUACAAACGCAUGAUGAAGGCGAAAACAGACAAUCUUUAUCUCUGCAAAGAAUAUGAUAAUAAAAGAGAGAGUCUUGAUGUUUCUUCCUGGCGAAAUCGCAAACCGAAUAGUGGACAUGAAAAUUCUCCGUACGAACUUUUGAAAUGUUUACACCUGAAUGUCAUCCCAUCAAGAGUAUUUGAAGAAGCUGUUUUACAAACGCGACGACUGUAUUUUAUAUAUGUGCCAAAUCGUUCCGGUCUGUUUGCAUUGGCGAUUCCUGUAUAUGAAGAUUGGUAUAGGAGAAAACCGUUUGGGUUAGAGGAGGAUGACAAAUAUGAGUAAUGUACUACGUAAAGCAUGGUACUGAGGUUACAUUGGAAUUAAUGGACUUUUGUUAUUGCUACUCACUUUGAUCUUUUUCCGCGGAAAUUUGCAAAAUAAGCUUUGUUGCGGCGAAGCGAUAAAUGAAUUACUAAAUUAUUAUGAAUACUUUAUCGGCAUGCUAAAUUGAAUAGUGCUCAACACGCGCAUGUUAUAAAUAUACAUUGGGCUGGUAUAGACCUUAUUAUAAAAUUGAAUGUGUCCUUAUCUACGGCCUUACUCAAUCAUAUAUUAUGUAACAAUUUACGUUUCCCUUUUAGUUGUAUUAUAUACACUUUGACACUUUACCGGAAUAAUCUAGCCAAUUUGUAAAUAAACGAAAAAAUGGGCUUAAACAUGCUAUCAAUAAUGCAUGUAGUCAUGGUGCAAAGAAAACAUACGUGUGUCGUUCAUGAUCAUAGAUAUUUAAAACUAUUUCUCUGUAAAAAUAUAUUUUGUUUAAAACCGUUUGGCACCGAGUCCUUCCUUCAUAGCCCUAAUAUGCAUACAUAAUAUUUAAACGGCAUAACUUGUGUUUAAUGCGUAUAUAAAUAUAUUAUCGAUACGUUAAUUAAUAUAUUAUCAAUAACGUUACAUAUACUCAGAUUAUAACUUUUUACAACAGUUGUUAGGUUUUGAUAUCUAUAUAUAUAUCCAUACAAGAGCAGGACUACGUUGUCUGUCCAUGUUCUUGCUAAAACAACGUUUCUUCAGGAAAUUCAUAUCAUAUGUAAAGAAAUUGUUUGCGUAUCUAGAACACAGGUGGUUAGCGUGUGGCUAUGAUAUUAAUUAGUGAAAACAUCAUUUUGAAUGAUAAAUAAUCAUAUUAAAACGAUAAAUUAAAUUUUAUGAAAAAAAAAUUCACUAUAAAAUAUAUAUAUUACAAGGUAUGCAACUAAAAAUCACCCAAAACGGGAUGCAUCGCUUUGAACAGCCAUAUCUUCAUCAAUUGUGAAGCGAUUUUCACGAUCUUGGUCUUAUUCAACGCAGAAAUGAAUUUCCUUUCUGGAAAUGUAUAUGUCUUGCAAUAUUUUUACAAAUGCUGGGUCAACUUUUAAGAAAUAACACGAUACACAACUCGCAUGACCCAGUUGAGAAUGAUCAUGCAGUCUUUAAGAUUGAAAUCGUCACGGAGUAAAUGGCAUCUUCACUACAAAGUACAUGUACCUCGAUACCAUAAUUCAAUAAAACGUAUGAAAAAACAUUAUUACCGUUCUUGUCGUUACAUUAUGCAUCAAGACUAACUGUCCAGCGCCGUUUGAAACUAUUGUUUUCAUACAUUUCAACUAACUGACAUUUUAAACAUACGAGUGAUUUCAUUGGUCCAAUGCGGAGGUGUGUCUUUACAACUGGAGAUUUCAUUCAUAAAGACUGCAUGAUCAUUGUUAACUGGGUCAUGCGAGUUGUGUAUCGUGUUAUUUCUUAAAAGUUGACCCAGCAUUUGUAAAAAUAUUGCUAGACAUAUACAUUUCCAGAAAGGAAAUUCAUUUCUGCGUUGAAUAAGACCGAGAUCGUGAAAAUCGCUGCACAAUUGCAAAUGGCUGUUCAAAGCGAUGCACCCCGUUUUGGGGUGAUUUUAAGUUGCAUACCUUGUUAUAUAUAUAUUUGAUAGUGAAUUUGUUUGUUUUUUCAGAAAAGUUAAUUUUUCGUUAUAAUAUGAGUAUUUAUCAUUCAAAAUGAUGUUUUCACUUAAAAAUAUCAAAGCCACACGCUAACCACCUGUGAUCUAGAAGACAAUUACUUAAAGCAGUUGUAUUUUGUUCUAAGAUGAUUUAGAACCGAGCUCUAGAUGACUUCAAAUAGUAUUACCUAACGCAUAAUACAACUCUUAAUUUGUUUAUUUGAUAUUUUUGCGUUUUUUAAGGAUUUUGCUGAGGUUCAAUAAUUGAGUCGAACUCCAAACUGAUGACCGGUAAAUACUGUUCACUGCUGAUUGCCUCAAAAUCUCAUGUUUCCGUAAGAAACGCUCGGCAGGAUAAAAAUCAAUGUUUGAAAAUAUAAAAAUAUUAAAGGGGCCUUUUCACGUUUUGCGAAAUGGACAACAUUUAAAAAAAGUAGUUUCAUAUUCGCAAAUUUUCGUUUAAGUAUUGAUAUUUGUGAGUAAAAAGUAAAAGUGAACAUUUACCAUGCUCUAAAAUAGCCAUCAUAUGCAUCUUUUGACGAUUUAAAAACCUGAAAAUUAUAAAGCGUUGCAACGCGAAACGAUUAAAUAAUUUGAAAAGUUCUGUUGUUGUCGUUAUAUUUUGGAAAAGUACGAGGAUUGCUUAUAUAAGUAAAACAUACAUCCGCUCCUAGCACGAGCACGGAUGGAAACUUUUUACUCCAGGAAUCCAGGGGUCAGUGGUUCGAGCCCAGUUGAGGGUUACUUUUUUUUCCUUUUUAAUUGUAUUCUUGUUUUUUUUACUGGAGAUUUUUAGGUCCAAAUGUUCAAAUUUAUCAAUUAAAAGCAUUUAAUGACACGCUUAAAUAAAUGCCAAAAUCUGUGGAAAGGCCCCUUUAACACCAAUAAUAGAUAUAUACAAAGCGCAUACGACGCAAAGGCAUUGAAAUAUUAUAACAUGUAUCUCAAUGUAAUGGUAACGGAACUGUUCAUGAUGAAUAGUCUUUUGCUCGAUACGCGUACUUUUGCACCGUGCUUGAAAGUACAUUGUUUGUAUAAAUAUAAAAAAGAUUGUAUUAUUACUGAUUUUGAAUAGAUCUGUUUUAUAAAGUA